UAUAAUCGAAAUUUCAUCCAAAAUCCAUCAUUUUCAAACAAAAUCAAAGAGGAAAAGAGAUCAAACUAUCAAAUCUAAUAAGAAAUAAAACUCUAAUUAAACACAACACCAUCAAUCAUCAUAUAUGGAAUAGAGAUAGAUCUUUGGAUUGAUAGAAACAAAUGAAAAGGUAAAAAAGAUGGAUCUUUGGAUUGAUAGAAAGAAUGAAAAGGCAAAAAGAAGACGAAAGAUUAUAUAUGGAAUAGAGAGAAGAGAGUAAAGAGAAGAAGAAGAAGAAGAAACAAAUCAAAAGUUUUGUUUUUGUUGAAUUGAGAGAAAAAUAAAUUGAGAUGAAAAAAAUUUGAUCUGAGAAAUUAAAUUUUUUUUUGUUGAGAAUAAAAGAUCCAAAAUUGUUAUGGAUCUAGAUCCAACAUAGAGGUUGGGUUGUAAAUAAGUAAAAAACUCUAGUUUUACUUGUCUUUUAUUAUUAUUCUGA
rnacentral:sRNA from 1 species